UGGGGAAUAUUGGACAAUGCGGGCAACCGUGAUCCAGCAAUGCCGCGUGAGUGAAGAAGGCCUUAGGGUUGUAAAGCUCUUUUACCCGGGAUGAUAAUGACAGUACCGGGAGAAUAAGCCCCGGCUAACUCCGUGCCAGCAGCCGCGGUAAUACGGAGGAUGCAAGCGUUAUCCGGAAUGAUUGGGCGUAAAGCGUCCGCAGGUGGUGAUGCAAGUCUGCUGUUAAAGAGUGUAGCUUAACUACAUAAAGGCGGUGGAAACUGCACCACUAGAGUACGUUCGGGGCAGAGGGAAUUCCUGGUGUAGCGGUGAAAUGCGUAGAUAUCAGGAAGAACACCGGUGGCGAAAGCGCUCUGCUAGGCCGUAACUGACACUGAGGGACGAAAGCUAGGGGAGCGAAUGGGAUUAGAUACCCCCGUAGUCC
rnacentral:rRNA from 1 species